CCUACGGGAGGCAGCAGUAGGGAAUAUUGCUCAAUGGGGGAAACCCUGAAGCAGCAACGCCGCGUGGAGGAUGAAGGUUUUCGGAUUGUAAACUCCUUUUGUUAGAGAAGAUAAUGACGGUAUCUAACGAAUAAGCACCGGCUAACUCCGUGCCAGCAGCCGCGGUCAUACGGAGGGUGCAAGCGUUACUCGGAAUCACUGGGCGUAAAGAGCGCGUAGGCGGGAUAGCAAGUCAGAUGUGAAAUCCUAUGGCUUAACCAUAGAACUGCAUUUGAAACUGUUAUUCUAGAGUAUGGGAGAGGUAGGUGGAAUUCUUGGUGUAGGGGUAAAAUCCGUAGAGAUCAAGAGGAAUACUCAUUGCGAAGGCGACCUGCUAGAACAUAACUGACGCUGAUGCGCGAAAGCGUGGGGAGCAAACAGGAUUAGAUACACCAGUAGUC
rnacentral:rRNA from 1 species